UAACAGGGAUUUAGAUACCCUGGUAGUCCACGCCGUAAACGAUGUCUAUUUGAAGGUUGUUCCCUUGAGGAGUGGCUUUCGGAGCUAACGCGUUAAAUAGACCGCCUGGGGAGUACGGCCGCAAGGUUAAAACUCAAAUGAAUUGACGGGGGCCCGCACAAGCGGUGGAGCAUGUGGUUUAAUUCGAUGCAACGCGAAGAACCUUACCUACUCUUGACAUCCAGAGAAUUUAGCAGAGAUGCUUUGGUGCCUUCGGGAACUGUGAGACAGGUGCUGCAUGGCUGUCGUCAGCUCGUGUUGUGAAAUGUUGGGUUAAGUCCCGCAACGAGCGCAACCCUUAUCCUUUGUUGCCAGCGGUUCGGCCGGGAACUCAAAGGAGACUGCCAGUGAUAAACUGGAGGAAGGUGGGGAUGACGUCAAGUCAUCAUGGCCCUUACGAGUAGGGCUACACACGUGCUACAAUGGCAUAUACAAAGAGAAGCGACCUCGCGAGAGCAAGCGGACCUCAUAAAGUAUGUCGUAGUCCGGAUUGGAGUCUGCAACUCGACUCCAUGAAGUCGGAAUCGCUAGUAAUCGUAGAUCAGAAUGCUACGGUGAAUACGUUCCCGGGCCUUGUACACACCGCCCGUCACACCAUGGGAGUGGGUUGCAAAAGAAGUAGGUAGUGUAAC
rnacentral:rRNA from 1 species